GACGAACGCUGGCGGCGUGCUUAACACAUGCAAGUCGAACGGAAAGGCCUCUUUCGGGGGGUACUCGAGUGGCGAACGGGUGAGUAACACGUGAGUAACCUGCCCUUGACUUUGGGAUAACUUCAGGAAACUGGGGCUAAUACCGGAUAGGAGCUCCUGCUGCAUGGUGGGGGUUGGAAAGUUUCGGCGGUUGGGGAUGGACUCGCGGCUUAUCAGCUUGUUGGUGGGGUAGUGGCUUACCAAGGCUUUGACGGGUAGCCGGCCUGAGAGGGUGACCGGCCAAAUUGGGACGGGAACACGGCCCAACCCCCCAGGGGGGGGAGCAGGGGGGAAUGUGGAAAAAUGGGGGGAAGCCUGAUGCAGCAACGCCGGGGGCGGGAUGACGGCCUUCGGGUUGGAAACCGCUUUCGCUCAGGAAGAAGGUUUGGGUGACGGUGGGGGGUAAAGAAGCACCGGCUAACUACGU
rnacentral:rRNA from 1 species